AUGAACCACUUCGGUGGGGAUUAGUGGCGAACGGGUGAGUAACACGUGGGCAAUCUGCCCUUCACUCUGGGACAAGCCCUGGAAACGGGGUCUAAUACCGGAUACGAGUUUCACAGGCAUCUGUGAUUCUGGAAAGCUCCGGCGGUGAAGGAUGAGCCCGCGGCCUAUCAGCUUGUUGGUGAGGUAAUGGCUCACCAAGGCGACGACGGGUAGCCGGCCUGAGAGGGCGACCGGCCACACUGGGACUGAGACACGGCCCAGACUCCUACGGGAGGCAGCAGUGGGGAAUAUUGCACAAUGGGCGAAAGCCUGAUGCAGCGACGCCGCGUGAGGGAUGACGGCCUUCGGGUUGUAAACCUCUUUCAGCAGGGAAGAAGCGAAAGUGACGGUACCUGCAGAAGAAGCGCCGGCUAACUACGUGCCAGCAGCCGCGGUAAUACGUAGGGCGCAAGCGUUGUCCGGAAUUAUUGGGCGUAAAGAGCUCGUAGGCGGCUUGUCACGUCGGGUGUGAAAGCCCGGGGCUUAACCCCGGGUCUGCAUUCGAUACGGGCUAGCUAGAGUGUGGUAGGGGAGAUCGGAAUUCCUGGUGUAGCGGUGAAAUGCGCAGAUAUCAGGAGGAACACCGGUGGCGAAGGCGGAUCUCUGGGCCAUUACUGACGCUGAGGAGCGAAAGCGUGGGGAGCGAACAGGAUUAGAUACCCUGGUAGUCCACGCCGUAAACGGUGGGCACUAGGUGUUGGCGACAUUCCACGUCGUCGGUGCCGCAGCU
rnacentral:rRNA from 1 species